AUUGAACGCUGGCGGCAUGCCUUACACAUGCAAGUCGAACGGUAACGCGGGGCAACCUGGCGACGAGUGGCGAACGGGUGAGUAAUGCAUCGGAACGUGCCCGGUAGUGGGGGAUAACUGCUCGAAAGAGCAGCUAAUACCGCAUACGACCUGAGGGUGAAAGGGGGGGAUCGCAAGACCUCUCGCUAUCGGAGCGGCCGAUGUCGGAUUAGCUAGUUGGUGGGGUAAAGGCCCACCAAGGCAACGAUCC
rnacentral:rRNA from 1 species